UACGGAGGGAGCUAGCGUUGUUCGGAAUUACUGGGCGUAAAGCGCACGUAGGCGGCGAUUUAAGUCAGAGGUGAAAGCCCGGGGCUCAACCCCCGGAAUAGCCUUUGAAACUAGAUUGCUUGAAUCCAGGAGAGGUGAGUGGAAUUCCGAGUGUAGAGGUGAAAUUCGUAGAUAUUCGGAAGAACACCAGUGGCGAAGGCGGCUCACUGGACUGGUAUUGACGCUGAGGUGCGAAAGCGUGGGGAGCAAACAGG
rnacentral:rRNA from 1 species